rnacentral:tRNA from 1 species
CAGAAAAUAAUUUAAAUUUAUAUAAAAUCUAAAUUUUGGGAAUUUAAUUUGACUAAAUGUCUUUUCUGA